AGAUGUAGCUCAGUGGUAGAGCUUCUGCCUAGCAUGCGCAAGGCCCUGGGUUCAAUCCCCAGUACUG
rnacentral:tRNA from 1 species